rnacentral:lncRNA from 1 species
UGUACAUAGUUAUUUUAAAACAAGCUUAUAAGAUAUGGAUUCAAAAAUAAGCAAUUUAAUAAGAUAUAAUCUAGAAUUAAGGACAGAUUUUUGUCAUGAACUUGAUAGUAAUAAUAUAAACACUUUGCAGGAAUGUGAUAGUAAUUAUAAUAACCAUUUUUGGUCUUUCUCAAGGCACUUUGCACUUAAAAAUGUUGUUAAAUAUAUAAAAGAUCAACAUAAUGUUAGGAUUACUGAACAAUGAAUGCUAACAUUUUCAUGCUUAUCAGAAACAAUAAGGAACCCAAGGAUCAUUUGGAAUGAACUGGAGUAUAUAAUAUCCCAGUUAGAGAUGAUGAUAAUACAUGGAUUAUGAAAUAUAUUGGCAGCAUUAAAAUUAUUGUUUAGGAUCUAUACAAGAGGAAGGUCAAAAAGUUCUUGCCCUCAUCACAAUGAAAAUGUGCUAGAGAUCUGAAAUUUGGUCCUCCAAUUAUUCCUUCUCUAUAUAAUCAUUCUAGGCCACACACUUCCCAUACCUAUGGAGCAGUUAUUUAAUUCCAUCUUUAUAGAAAGCAGCAAAAUUUGAAGGCAAACAACUCUUUACAGCAGUAAUGACUUCCUUGGAAACUUCAUUCCCUGUAAAUGUUUCUUUAUAUUUUGAAAGAAGAAGUCUGAAUGUAUCAGGUUGGGAAAACUUGGAGGAUAGGGCAAGAUUUCAUAAUCAUAUUUGCAUAAAAAAGUAACUUUUUCUGCAGCUCAAUAUCAGGUGCAUUGUCAUCUGACAGCAUUACACUUUUUGACAGAAAACCAU